CUCCAUGGAACAAAACAGAGAGCCGAGAAAUGGACCCACACUUAUAUGACCAAUUAAUAAAUGACAAAGGAAGCAAGAAUACACAAUGGAGAAAAGAUAGCCUCUUCAAAUAAAUGAUGUUCAGAAA